rnacentral:rRNA from 1 species
CCUANGGGGGGCAGCAGUUAGGAAUAUUGCGCAAUGGGGGAAACCCUGACGCAGCGACGCCGUGUGGGUGAUGAAGGCCUUCGGGUUGUAAAGCCCUUUUAGUCGGGACGAACACAAUGACGGUACCGGCAGAAAAAGCACCGGCUAACUCCGUGCCAGCAGCCGCGGUAAUACGGAGGGUGCAAGCGUUAUUCGGAUUUACUGGGCGUAAAGCGCAUGUAGGCGGUUGGAUAAGUCUGGUGUGAAAUCCCGAAGCUCAACUUCGGAAGUGCAUUGGAUACUGUCUGACUAGAAUUCAGGAGAGGAGAGUGGAAUUCCUGGUGUAGAGGUGAAAUUCGUAGAUAUCAGGAGGAACACCAGUGGCGAAGGCGGCUCUCUGGACUGACAUUGACGCUGAGAUGCGAAAGCGUGGGUAGCAAACAGGAUUAGAUACCCGANUANUC